rnacentral:lncRNA from 1 species
GCUCGUGUAUUCGAAGCACAACUCUGUUGUUGCAGGAAAAUCAGUUUUGAAUACCAUGACAUUGUAAUAACCAUGUACAUUUUUUAAGCUUUGUCUUCAGUUGUAGGUUCAGUCUAAGUGUAUGCUCCGCUCCAUUCAUGUUGAUUUUAGUGUUCUUAAUGAUGGUAUAUAACACUACUGUUUGAAAAAAAGUGUGAUUGAUUCCAAUCACCUUGUAAUGCCAAACACUUGGUUUUCUUUGCAGGGUCUAAUUCCUCAAAACAAACUGUAGGGCAUGUUAUUGGCUUGUGGACCUUGUAGUUGGACGGUAAUGCAGGCUGGAAAAUGUUCCUUGUGGUAACAGAGACGCAGGCUGGUUUAAAUCAAUUUAUCACCAAGAAUGGCACUUUGACAAAAUGAGAAAGAAGUCGAUGCACACCUUAUUCGUGCUAUGAGGUUUUCUGUCGCCUGUUGUGUGUGUUGCUGUUUUUUAAUUGUGCAGGUGGCAGUAUGCGUGCGGCUCGUAACCUUUGGGAGAAAAUAGCACAAGGAGUUUGUUGCAGUCAAUAUACCCGCUGUUUCCGGCUUGACAUGAAGUUAUGUAUUUGAAUCAUAGGCUAGGACUUUCCCUUUGGCAAUUUGCAAACAGUUGUAACUCAUAUUUGUAACACAUUAACAUAUGGACGUGUAUGUAUUAUUCUUCAAAUUUGUGCAUUCCUAUAUGCUUGAAUUUUAGCAGUAAACAUGAUGUUCAUUGUGGGUAAACAUGCCUGAGUUGGCUUUGUAGAUAUAGUAUGAACAAGAUUUGUGUAUUGGUUCACAAAGGUUCCUGUAAUGUAAUUUUGGCUUUUGAAAUGAACAUGGUUUAUAUUAACUUGUGUAUGGAAGUGUAAGCUAGAUCGGUGGAUUAAUGAUUUAUUGAUCAAGGUCCAACAUAAUGAAAAUGUACGGUUUAAAGUGAUUA